CCCACCCAUCUUAAAGCAGAGAUUUACAAGACCCUCAUACGGUCAGUCACACUUCACAGUUCAGAGUGUUGGCCUGCAUCCGCCAAACACCAGCAGUCUGGACCAUGUCAGGAAUGAAGACGUGCAGAAAGUACUGGGAAUGGCUCCAAUCAUAGAGAAGAUGAAAGAAGCACAUCUUUAUUGGGACAGCCAUGUCGUUCACAGCGGAGAAGAAUCAAGUGAUAGACAGCAUUGUGCCUUAGCCCAGAUGGAUGGCGACCACAUGUUUGACCAAAGAAGAGAUGAAUGGACUGAGAAAAAAAAGAAAAGAAAAUAUGAAACAAGUCAACACAGCCCCCGACGAUGCCCUAGACUGGAAGAAGUGGAAAGCGAAAUGCCAAUAAGCAGACCUUGCAACAGUGCAGUCUUGGCAGGUGCUGGGUUCAGCAGUGCUGUAGUACAGUAUGUGAGCAUCUCUGGGUCACUGAUGGUGCAGUCAGCGCUGGAGAAGAAUUGGAAUGAGGGAUUAAGAAGAACUGUUAGUGCUCCUCCAUCUGUCCGCUCCCUCAGGACACGUACAUUAGAAAGACCUGAGAAAAUCAAACAGCCCCAGUCUCUGGCUCUCAUAAGCCUGAAUCCCAGAGGUCUUUAAAGAAGGAAGAUGUACGGAUGAAGAAAACAGCGAGACGGGGAAGUCAAUACUGAGAAAUCAAAAGAAAGUUUACACAGUACAGUCUGGAGGGAAGUGAUACCUGCAGUUUAAAGCUCAUUCUGGGAUCGAAGGCUCACACAUUCUGGGGACCAAGAUUGGGCAAAAUACGAUCUUUAUGAAAUGACUUUGUCUUGAAGUUCAUAAUGGAAAAUUUGAAUUGAAUUGAUCACACAGGACUUUGAAUUGAAUUUGAAUGACAGCUGAAUUGAUUUACUGAAUUACAAUUAAAAGAAAUUCAAAAAAUCACAUAAUAGAAGAACUGAAUGUCAAACAAAAAUUUGACAAAAUAUAGAAGAUUAAAUCAUUAAUUUUCACUAAUUAUGUAUAUAUAUAUUUUUUGCAACUUAUUAGAAAUACAUUUCAACAGUAUCAAAAUAUGUGAAAAAAUUAUGUUCAAAAUUUAUCAAAAAUUAUGUGAAACACACAUAAUGCAUAAAUUCGCUGCUGGAAUUAAAAGUUUGGCGUAGCUAAAAUUCUAUAAAGAAGUGUCUUCUGCUCACCAAAGCAGCAUUUAUUUGAUGAAAAACCAAGUAAAAACGGAAAUAUUGUGAAAUAUUAUUGUCAUUUAAAAGGCUGCUUUAAUAUAUUAAUAAAAUGAAGUUUAUUUCUGUGAUGCAAAGCUGAAUUUUCAGCAUCAUUCAUUAUCACAAGAUCCUUUUAGAAACCAUUCUAAAAUGCUGAUUUGUUACUCAAGAAUUAAUAUUUUUUAUUAUUAACUGAUGAAAAUGUUUUGCCUUUUUUAUGAAAACCCUGAUACUUUUGUUGUAUAGAAAGUGCAAAAUAACACAUUUUAUUUUAAAAAUU
ensembl:lncRNA